rnacentral:rRNA from 1 species
UACAGAGGUCCCGAGCGUUGUUCGGAUUUAUUGGGCGUAAAGGGUGCGUAGGCGGCGGAGUAAGUUGGGUGUGAAAUCCCGGGGCUCAACCUCGGAAUUGCAUUCAAUACUGCUUCGCUCGAGUACUGGAGAGGAGGCUGGAAUUUACGGUGUAGCAGUGAAAUGCGUAGAUAUCGGAAGGAAGGCCAGUGGCGAAAGCGAGCCUCUGGACAGUUACUGACGCUGAUGCACGAAGGCCAGGGGAGCAAACGGG